rnacentral:rRNA from 1 species
UACGGGGGGAGCAAGCGUUGUCCGGAAUUACUGGGCGUAAAGGGCGCGUAGGCGGCCUUCUAAGUCGAACGUGAAAUCCCCGGGCUCAACCCGGGAACUGCGUCCGAUACUGGAAGGCUUGAAUCCGGGAGAGGGAUGUGGAAUUCCAGGUGUAGCGGUGAAAUGCGUAGAUAUUGGGAGGAACAUCGGUGGCGAAGGCGGCUACCUGGACGGGUACUGACGCUGAUGCGCGAAAGCUAGGGGAGCAAACAGG